rnacentral:lncRNA from 1 species
ACCCAGUGAGGUUUAGGGUCACUGUGGAGGGAGAGAGAAGAUAGUUGGCCUUAAUUAGCUCCAAAAAAAGCCCGGAACUCCUGGGAUUAAUCCAAAAUCAAGCAGAACUUCUGGUGGAGAGAUCCAAGCUCCCAAAUACCAUGGAAGAGUCAAAGAACUAAGGCAGGCCACAGUUAGCCCAGAGGAGGAAUUGAGAAGAAAUUGUAUGUCUCCUGAAUACAAGCCAGACACUCUUUGCCCUAAAUACCCACUUCUGGAGAAGGAAAAUUAACUGCUUUGGAGUGUCCUGAAGUUUUGAGGAAUCAGUUCCAUGCGAGAUUGCAUAAUUUUACUACAUGUGUAUGCAUGAAUUCAUACAUAGUAUUACUUUGGUUUUUAUGUUUCACAUAUUUUUUGUUAUAUAUACAUAUCUUUUAGUAAUUUGCUUUUUGUAUUGAAUAUUUUGUUUUUCAAAUGUAUUCAUUUUGAUAGAUGCAGAUUGAUACAAGUGAUUCAUUUUAACUGUAAAGUUAAUUUAUCCAUUCCCUGACUAGUGAACAGUUAGAUUGUUUCUCAUUUUAUACUAUUCCAAGGAAUGCUAUAAUGAAUGUCUAUGUACAUGUAUGCAAGUGUUUCUCUAAAAUAUAUGAUUGCAUUUUGAAGUAGAGUUGCUGUGAACUUUUGUGCAUUUUUACAAAAAGCCCUCUAGGAACUUUCAUUGGAAUGGCAUUGAAUUCUUAAAUAAAUUUGGGGAGAUUUAAUAUUUUUAGAAGUUUUCCUAUCCAUGAAUAUGGUAUAUCUCUCCAAAUGCUUUGAUUAUCUCUUUUAUGCCUUCAAAUAAAGUUUCAUAAUUUCACGCGUGAAGAGAGGAAAAGUUUUUGUGAGAUUUUUUUCCUGGGCAUCUUAUACUUUCUCUCUCUCUCUGCCCUGCUCACCACUUUCUCUUUCUUAAUCUGUUGUUCUUUUGAGUUAUACCAUUUUUUAUAUUGCAUUUCUACAAGGUUGUGCUGUUACACACUGAGAUUUUUUUUUUAUAUUGGAUUUCUAUUGUUAACUGUAUUCGGCAGACUUGCUCAACACUAUAAAUUCUCAAGGUUCGUUUAUCUAUAGAUAUUUUUGGAUUUUCCAAAUGUCCUUGUCUGAAGAUUCCCACGGAUUUUCUUUCAGACAAACAUAUUAUUUGUGGAUAGGGACAAUGUUACUUCUUUUCAAUCCCUGUACUUUUAUUUUUUCUGUCUUAUUUUGUUAACUAGAACCUACAGUAUCAUAUAAAAUAAAAGUUUGAAAAAGGG